GAUUAACGCUGGCGGCGUGCAUAACACAUGCAAGUCGAACGAUGAAACUUAGUCGACUUCUUCGGAAAGACACUAAGCGGAUUAGUGGCGAACGGGUGAGUAACGCGUGAGUAACCUGCCUUACACAAGGGGAUAGCCUUUGGAAACGAAGAAUAAUACCCUAUAAAACCAUAAAAGCACAUGCUAGAAUGGUCAAAGUGAUAGCGGUGUAAGAUGGACUUGCGUCUGAUUAGCUAGUUGGUGAGAUAAAAGCUCACCAAGGCAACGAUCAGUAGCCGGCUGUGGAGAGUGUACGGCCACAUUGGGAACGGGCCACGGCCCAGACUCCUACGGGAGGGAGCAGUGGGGAAAUUUGCACAAUGGGGGAAACCCUGAUGCCGCGACGCCGCGUGAUUUAGAAGGCCUUCGGGUUGUAAAAAUCUUUUGUAUAGGAAGAAAAUGACAGUACUAUACGAAUAAGGUCCGGCUAAUUACGUG
rnacentral:rRNA from 1 species